AGCUGGGUUGUACCGGAUAUAAGGAGCUAGCCUGGAGAAUGAUCUUUGGGAGAAAAGUAUUUUCUCUAUUUUGGCUGUUGCUGUUUUUUUCCCCCAAGGAUUGUAGAUUUUCGGUAUCCUGACCUGUCUCCUCAGCUCUUGGAACCUGGAACCUCUGGACUGGUCAUUGACUAUGGUAUAGACUUUUGAUCCUUGGACUUUCUUGUUGGACUCUCGGUGUUUGACUAUUGGACACGACCUUUUUUUUUUUAGUAGUGUCUUCUUGCACCUGCAACAGCAUUUGCUAUCAGUUUUGUUUUGAUUCUGUGGUUGAGUGCUAUCUUUAUGUUUUACAUUGGGACUUUGAAAACAGCCAGACAGGUUAGAGAACCAGUUACCAGCAUCUGUCUUGGAACCACCAGUUUGGAUACCAGUGACAGAUCCCUCAGUGAUCUACUAGUAGAUCCAAUUCCAUCUUCUGCCCAGCAUUGUACUCCAGGCCACA
rnacentral:lncRNA from 11 species